CAUGAUUUUUACCCUUGGGUUUUUCAUAUAUAUCUUGGUAUUCUAUUUGAUUAUAAUUAUAUUUAAUUUCACUAUCUAUUAUCGUCUGUUACUAUUUGUUCAUUAUUUUUAUUUAUAUCCUAUCAAAUCCUUCAUUUUUUUUUUUUUUUUUUUGUUGUCUGUGUGUUCUCCCUCGCUCUCCCGUUCUAUUUGCCUAACCUUUUGCGCUUCGCAUCUCUCCAUCCAUUUCUUUUUUUGUGCCUUCACAUCGAGGACUUCGAAGUCCGAGUGACGCCCGCGGGCUAGUAGAUGAGCUGCCUGAUGUCGCCCGAACGAUGGAUCAGGAUUCGACCAACGGCGGGCCACCGCCCGCUGCGGGCUCCCCCCACCUCUUCGCCGACAACCUCAAUGGCUUCCUCCUCGCCGUCGCCUUCAUCGGCGCCGGCUUCAUCGUCAAGAAGCAGGGCCUCAGGCGCACCGGUGCGUCCGGCCCUCGCGCCGGCGUAGGUGGGUACGGAUAUCUGUUGAAGCCUCUCAGGAGGAUCGGAAUGGUCACAAUGAUCUUUGGUGAAAUUGCCAACUUUAUGGCCUACAUAUUUGCCCCAGCUGUUCUGGUAACUCCGUUGGGUGCUUUGUGUCUCAUUGUGAGGUGGGAUGUGCGAAAUUUAAAAGCUUGCAGUGGUCACAGAUUUAAAAGCUUGCAUUGUACUGGUCCGAUUGAGGAUUGGUACGUGGAUCACCCUCUACUAGACUAUACUAUAACCUGCCCCUGCAUCAGGCAAUAUGGGGUUUCGAUUGUAAACGAUCAGUAACGGUCGGACUUCGACUGUAAAUGGUUGAGAUUGCCCUAUUUCAAAUGGUCAAAUUGAUCAUUUGAAUCAUAGGAAAAGGUUUUUAAACUUUUUCCUCCUCCCUCUUUCAAUUCAUAUCACUCUCUCAAUCUCGUCAACUCUCUUAAACUUAUUUUCACUCAAAUCAUUUCUUUGUAGAUAAUUCAAUAUUAACGGAAGGAUGGUUCAAAACGUAUCACAAAAUUACUUCUCAAAGCCUAAAAAAGAUGUGUCACUAUUCUUUCCUAAUUUAGAUUAUUUUCGUUAAAAUUAUAUAAUUUAUAUUUAUUUUCAAUUUAAAAAUCGUAAUAUAAUUUUUUUAUUUUUCAGGUUUUUUUGGAGUUAUUUUUUAUGUUGUUUUAGCAUAUCAUCGGCACACCGUAGCAUACCAUUGGUAUGUCUUGGUACAUACUGCACCAACCAUAAUUGCAAACCUUGAGUGUACUUGGGCAUAUGCUCAACAAUUGGAUCUUUAACGGUAAUGGUGUUGUGCUGGUGCUGAUGUUGUUUUUCUUGAUCUUUGCUCUUGUUGUCUCUUAUAGUUGUAAGUUAUGCAGGUGAUGAGUAUUAAGGCCAUAGGAAUUGCAAUUAAGCUCAUAUUGGAGGGAAUCGACCAUGCUGGUUACUUCCAGACAUGGGUAUUUGCAAUGGUUGCCAUCUCCUGCAUCAUAGUUCAGUUAAAUUACUUGAACAAGGUUAGAGCCUGAAGCAAUGCUUGUAUCAGAGUUCAAAGAAUGCACCAUUUUUUUUUCUUUUAAUCCAUGAUUCCCCUUCGUGAUUGCCUAUACGUAUGAAGUUUCAACUCUAAGAUAUAAGAUAAGACCACCAUGCUGACUUUUCUUUAUGCAAGUCUCCAUUUUACUCUUCUUCUGUUUCCCAGAUUUCUUUACUUUAAUUUUUCAGCAUUGAUAAUAUUUAGCUUUCUUGUUAGAUUAAUUUUUAGAAGGCAGCUUAUUUUCCUUGAACUAGAGAGUGCUUUCUAAUACAGGAAGGACUUUCUCUAUAAAUAAGAUGGCCAUAAGUUUUAGAUGGAGGAUAAAUUGGACAAUUGAUGAUGCUGUAUGUAAUAUUUUGAGAAAUGGGCAAUAAAGAAGGGCCAGGUUGGAACAUUCUGGAACCUGCAUUGACCAGUUAUUUCAGCUUCUGGUUGGAUGAAACUCGGGGCAAGUCAAAAGUCAAUUAGUUCUACUUUUGAAAUUACAGAAUAUUACUGUCAAAGAAAGCCAAAUGACUUCCUGUUUGUUAUGGUUUUCAUGGUUAGUUUGAUUUUUGGAAAUGGAUUAUUUGUUGAUUGCACAUCAGAGAUUCGAAAUUUCAUAUCGUAUCGGUGUAUCGAGCUUUACUCGGUAUAUAUAUAUAUAUAUAUUAAAAAAAUAAAAAUAUAUAUUUUUAUAUAAAAAUAUAAAAAUCAAUAUAUAAAAAUAUUAAAAAAAAAUUAAAAAAAUAUAUUUUAAAUAAAGGCGUAUGCAGCCUUGGCGACAUCACCUUCUCCUCUUCUCCUCGUCGCCUUGUCUGCGGCAUUCAGCGAAGAAGACGGCGAAGAUGUCGAAGGUCGCAGACGUCUCUGACCUUCGGCGAAAAACACGGCAAAGGCCGCAAACGUCUCCGGCCUUCGGCAAAGAAGAAGAUUGUAGAGUCGCAAACGAGGCUAUGAAGUAGACCGCCCCUUUCGUUGCUCUAGCCGCGGCCUCCCCGAAUCCUCGCGCCUCCAGAUCCUCCUCUUUACAACUCUCCUCGUCGUUACCUCCUGGAUCGGGAUCGUCGAGGGAGAGGCAGCAUCAGAUCGGGAUCGUCGAGAGAGAGGCAGCAUCAGAUCAGGAUCGAGAAAGGGCAUGGAAACAAGUUUGCAUUGAGGUUCUCCCGAUUCUCCCUCUUCUUUGAAUGCCCUCUCCUUCUUCUUCCUUCUUCGACAUUUCUCCCUCAACCUCGCCGUAGCUAGGCCGCUAUAUUGAGCGGAUCGCCUGGUAGCGGGUGGUCCGCAUACCGGUUCACGAGCGGUACAAUUCGAAAUUGCAAACCUUGCAUCAGAUAUUGUCUUUUGAUCUUGUCUUUCAAGUAUAUGUUUGUCAGUUUGCUAUCCAGCUUUGACUUUAUAUUUAUAUGUAAUUAUCUAGUUAAAGAUUUCUUUCUUAGCUGAUUUGACUCUUCAAAAUUUGGUUUAGGAUUAACAAUGUUAAUUAUUUGUCUUUUUUGUUGUUCUUUCUCGUUUCCUGGCAUUAGAUACUUUCAAUACUGCAAUUGUUUCUCCUGUCUACUAUGCCAUGUUCAGAAUUCUUACUAUAUUCACAGGUGCCAUCAUGUUCAAGGUACCGAAUCUUUAUUAUGGUCAUAAUAUUUCUACAUUUUCUUUGUCUAGUGCUUACUUCUUUGCAUGCAUGGAGGAUUGGUCUGGGCAGAGUGCAAGUGAUAUUGCAUCAGAGAUUUGUGGGCUUAUUACAGUAAUAUCUGGGACUACAUUGUUGCAUUCUACCAGUGAGGCAGAUCCACCUACUUCAGGUAUAUUGAAGUAGUCUUGAGAUGACAAUUGAUGGAUGAGCACAUGGUCUGAAAAUUCAUGAUUUAUAUGCACAGCUCUCUCCCAAGAUGUUUUGGCACAUCCAAGGGAAUGGUGAGAUGGGAAAGCUCAAGGACAAUGAUAUGUUGUCCGGGGAGUUUGUUGCAGUCCUUCGACAGUCCAAGGAUUAUGUCAUGUUAGUCUAUCGGCUCACGCGCCGCAUGAUGGAUCCUGAGUUUUCGCCUAAUCAUGCGAUGCAGGUGUAUGUCGGACUCAACUUCAUGAUUGAUGGUUGAAGAUGGAGAACCACAAGUUUUGUACUAGGCAGCAGCUUAGGAUUGCUGAUGGUGGCUUCCAUUUCAUGUAGUCUGGAUGCGGAUAAGUUCAGCUAUGUAUGUUAUACAUAAUUUUUCAUUUAGUUGUUAAUAGCUGAGUUAUAAAUGUUACUUGGUUCAUGUAUAAUCUCAGAAGAAUGGUAAUAAUAGAUUCUUGGUGUAAUAUACUGUACAUCUUUCAAGGAAUUUCUUACAAUUCCGAUAAA